GUAAAUCUGUUGACGGGAAGAGUAGGUAUGAUUGUUGUUUAAGCGAGGCGGCGUUUGGUGUGAGGCCGUUAUCAAUGACUUACUGAAGCGUAUCCCUAAGGAGCCUUUUUGAAAUCAUAGUAUGAAGGGCCGGCGUUCUCCGUUAAAGAAUAAUGAGUGGGUGCUUUGCGCCAAUAAGAGUGGUAACACGGAUUAUAGCUUUCGUCUCUUAA
rnacentral:ncRNA from 1 species